CUCAGAUAUGACACGCCAAAUAAUGUCGAAGAUGUUUCAUAAUAAUUUGGUAUCACAAUUUUCUUAUGCAGGACAGAAACAUAAAAUGGUGUUUGCUACUCUUCAUUCCUGUUCCAUCAUAUUUGGGGACGCGGGGAUAUAACAAACCUGAGUGGCGGGGCAUUAAAGUUUUCACUCGCCGUGGCGGGGCUAUAACAAAACAGUACCAAUCCAUCCGACAUAAUCGAUAGAGAAAACAUAACAUAUUUUGAGCAUAUGAGAAAGAAGAAGAACAACGGGACGUAUGGCUGAAACACUGAAGAGGCCUCAUAAACAAUGCGCGUUUUCUUUGUCAAUACUACUGUCAAUACUAA